UACGAAGGGAGCUAGCGUUGUUCGGAAUCACUGGGCGUAAAGCGCACGUAGGCGGAUGUGUCAGUCAGGGGUGAAAUCCCGGAGCUCAACUUCGGAACUGCCUUUGAUACAGCACAUCUGGAGUCCGGAAGAGGUGGGUGGAAUUCCUAGUGUAGAGGUGAAAUUCGUAGAUAUUCGGAAGAACACCAGUGGCGAAGGCGACUUACUGGACAGAUAUUGACGCUGAGGUGCGAAAGCGUGGGGAGCAAACAGG
rnacentral:rRNA from 1 species